AAUUCUGACAGUACUGGGGAGAAGUCAGCAGCUCAGUGGAACAUGGAGAGGAUUGUGACAGUACUGGGGAGAAGGCAGCAGUUAACUGGAACAUGGAGAGGAUAUUUGACCUCUACGUUGUCUCAGGUCCGUCAGUAGGACUACCUGUACCACCACUGGACUGGACUGUUGCCAGACAUCCAGUCCACCCUACUGAGCUUGAAAAUAAAUCAAGCCUGUUGGUUGAGGGGUAAUAACUGUUCCUGAACCUGGUGGUGUGAAUCCUGAGGCUGCCAUACCUCCUUCCUGACAGUAGCAGCGAGAUGAGAGCAUGACCUGAUUGGCGUGGGUCCCCAUUAAAGAACGCUGCUUUCCAGCGACAAUGCUCUGUGUAGGUGUGCUCAGUGCUUCGUGCUCCACCCAUAUUGCUAUUUCAUGCUCAGACAGAACAGGAUAAAAGCUACGGAGGAAGAGGGACAAUUGACAUUUCCGGUCAAGUCCUCGCAUCAGGAUUGAAGUUGUAGCCCGAAUAAAGAGAUGAGAGGGCAAGAAAUCAUUCAGUCCUCCAGGGAGUCUUCUCUGAGACAAGUUUCACGAAUAUGUCUUGCAAAGUACAAUCAUUUUGAUUUUGAAUGUCUCUCUUGCAAAACCCUGCCUUCCUGGCAGUUAUUUUGCAAAGAUUAUAUGUGUGGCAGCAAAUGGAAAUUUCAUACCUUCCAUCCAGGUCUGAACUACUGCAUCAAUUCACAUCAUUCCCCUCCCUGAAUUCAAUGUAAACUUUGACCUUGGAUGUAAGGCUGGAAGAAGAUGGGGGAAAGCAGGAAGCAUUUUCAAGUACACUGCUGCUUCAACAUGAUGCUUCUUUACCUUCAGCAAUGUGCUAUAUAAUUUUAAAACGAAACUCUCAAAGGACCAAUGUUUCACUGAAUAAUUGUUGAUGCCUCUCUCUUAUGGACGGUGUAAAUUCAAAAGUAAUUAAUUAAAUAAAAAUAUU